GAAACAGCGGCAGGGCGCGGGAGGAGGAAGUAGCGCCCGGGACCGCUGGGCCACCACCGGCCGCCUCAGCCAUGGACGCGUCCCUGGAGAAGCUUGGGAGUCAGCUUGUCCAGUCCAGUGCACACCCGGCUUUUCAUGCAUGUGGCAUUCAGGAGCAAUGCUAGUGUUUUAAGACGGCUACAUUUGAAUUUUGAGCUGAUAGCAGACCCCACGUUAGCUGAAAUGGGAAAAAACUUGAAGGAGGCAAUGAAGAUGCUGGAGGACAGUCAGAGAAGAACAGAAGAGGAAAAUGGAAAAAAGCUCAUAUCCGGAGAUAUUCCAGGUCCACUCCAGGGCAGUGGACAAGAUAUGGUGAGCAUCCUGCAGUUAGUUCAGAAUCUGAUGCAUGGAGAUGAAGAUGAGGAGCCCCAGAGCCCCAGAAUCCAAAAUAUUGGAGAACAAGGUCAUAUGGCUUUGCUGGGACAUAGUCUGGGAGCUUAUAUUUCAACGCUGGACAAAGAGAAACUGAGAAAACUGACAACUAGGAUACUUUCAGAUACCACCUUGUGGCUAUGCAGAAUUUUCAGAUAUGAAAAUGGCUGUGCUUAUUUCCAUGAAGAGGAAAGAGAAGGACUUGCAAAGAUAUGUAGGCUUGCCAUUCAUUCUCGAUAUGAAGACUUCGUAGUGGAUGGCUUCAAUGUGUUAUAUAACAAGAAGCCUGUCAUAUAUCUUAGUGCUGCUGCUAGACCUGGCCUGGGCCAAUACCUUUGUAAUCAGCUCGGCUUGCCCUUCCCCUGCUUGUGCCGUGUACCCUGUAACACUAUGUUUGGAUCCCAGCAUCAGAUGGAUGUUGCCUUCCUGGAGAAAAUGAUUAAAGAUGACAUAGAACGAGGAAGACUGCCCCUGUUGCUUGUCGCAAAUGCAGGAACUGCAGCAGUAGGACACACAGACAAGAUUGGGAGAUUGAAAGAACUCUGUGAGCAGUAUGGCAUAUGGCUUCAUGUGGAGGGUGUGAAUCUGGCAACAUUGGCUCUGGGUUAUGUCUCCUCAUCAGUGCUGGCUGCAACCAAAUGCGAUAGCAUGACGAUGACUCCUGGCCCGUGGCUGGGUUUGCCAGCUGUUCCUGCAGUGACACUGUAUAAACACGAUGACCCUGCCUUGACUUUAGUUGCUGGUCUUACAUCAAAUAAGCCUGCAGACAAACUCCGUGCCCUGCCUCUGUGGUUGUCUUUACAAUACUUGGGACUUGAUGGGAUUGUGGAGAGGAUCAAGCAUGCCUGUCAACUGAGUCAACGGUUGCAGGAAAGUUUGAAGAAAGUGAAUUACAUCAAAAUCUUGGUGGAAGAUGAGCUCAGCUCCCCAGUGGUGGUGUUCAGAUUUUUCCAGGAAUUACCAGACUCAGAUCCGGUGUUUAAAGCUGUCCCAGUGCCCACCAUGACACCUUCGGCAAUUGGCCGGGAGAGGCACUCGUGUGACGCGCUGAAUCGCUGGCUGGGAGAACAGCUGAAGCAGCUGGUGCCUGCAAGUGGCCUCACGGUCAUGGAUCUGGAAGCCGAGGGCACUUGUGUGCGGUUCAGCCCUUUGAUGACAGCAGCAGUUUUAGGAACUCGGGGAGAGGAUGUGGAUCAGCUUGUAGCCUGCAUAGAAAGCAAACUGCCAGUGCUGAGCUCUACGCUCCAGUUGCGUGAAGAGUUCAAGCAGGAAGUGGAAGCAACGGCAGGUCUCCUAUAUGUUGAUGACCCUAACUGGCCUGGAAUAGGGGUUGUCAGGUAUGAACAUGCUAAUGAUGAUAAGAGCAGUUUGAAAUCAGAUCCGGAAGGGGAAAAAAUCCAUGCUGGACUCCUGAAAAAGUUAAAUGAACUGGAAUCUGACCUAACAUUUAAAAUAGGCCCUGAGUAUAAGAGCAUGAAGAGCUGCCUUUAUGUCGGCAUGGCGAGCGAGGACAUGGACGUGGCUGAGCUCGUGGAGACCAUUGCGGCCACAGCCCGGGAGAUAGAGGAGAACUCCAGGCUUCUGGAAAACAUGACAGAGGUGGUUCGGAAAGGCAUUCAGGAAGCUCAGGUCGAGCUGCAGAAGGCAAAUGAAGAACGGCUUCUGGAAGAGGGGGUGUUGCGGCAGAUCCCUGUAGUGGGCUCCGUGCUGAAUUGGUUUUCUCCGGUCCAGGCUUUACAGAAGGGAAGAACUUUUAACUUGACAGCAGGCUCUCUGGAGUCCACGGAACCCAUAUACGUCUACAAAGCACAAGGUGCAGGAGUCACGCCGCCUCCAACGCCCUCGGGCAGCCGCACCAAGCAGAGGCUUCCAGGCCAGAAGCCUUUUAAGAGGUCCCUGCGAGGUUCAGAUGCUUUGAGUGAGACCAGCUCAGCCAGCCACAUUGAAGACUUAGAAAAGGUGGAGCGCCUGUCUGGUGGGCUGGAGCAGAUCACCCUUGAGGCCAGCAGCACUGAGGGACACCCAGGGGCUCCCAGCCCUCAGCACGACAACCAGAGCGAGGCCUUCCAGAAAGGGGCCCCACACCCAGAAGAUGACCACCCACAGGUAGAAGGAGCGGAGAGCUUAAGAUAAGACUCACUGUGUGGUUUGAGACUGUACUGAGUAUUGUUUCAGGGAAGAUGAAGUUCUAUUGGAAAUGUGAACUGUGCCACAUACUAAUAUAAAUUACUGUUAUUUGUGCUUCACUGGGAUUUUGGCACAAUUAUGUGCCUGAAAGGUAGGUUUUCUAGGAGGGCAGUCAGCUCGUCUAACUUCCUGUAAAUGUAGAACCACCAGGAACUGUUUGCUGUCCUAAUACCACUUUUUCCUAAGUUACCAUAAACGCUUUUUAUUCACAAAAAACACUUCGAAUUUCAAGUGUCUACCACUUGGACCCUUGCUCUUUCUAAACAUAAGCCUAAGUGAUGAGGUUGCAUGUGGCAACUUUUUGGUCAAACAGCUUUUCAUUAGCAUUCUCCAGGUUCUCUGCGACACUUCAGAAGUGAGACUGGCCGUUUCCUUUGCUGUCGGUGUUAGUCGGUCUUUAGUAUGAUCAACUUGCAAUAUACAACGGGCCUGCUAGGCUUGAAGGAAAGCAGUGUUUGUGGGAUUGUAAAUAAGAGCAUCAGAAACCCUCCCCAGCUACUGCUCUUCCUGGAGACUUAGUAAGGACUGUGUCCACUUGAGCUGUGGCAAGGCUGCUGUCUAGGACUGUCCUCUGCCACAAGCCCGUUUCUCCCUUUAUAUACUGUUUGUAAAGAGAAACUAUGUAAAGUCUCCUCCUGACCAUAUAUUUUUAAAUACUGGUAAAGCUUUUAAAUUGGCACAUAAGUACAGACUGUGCUCAUUUCUGUUUAGUAGGUGAAAACCCAAUAGAUGCUACCCUUAAGAGCCUGUUCUUCCGUGUGCUGCAUAGCACCCACCUGGGUUAAAAUCUGAAAGCAAGUACCCCUUUGACUUGUCUCCCACUGAAGCUUCUGCAGCUUCUACUGCCCUGGCAGCUCACCUGGGCCCAACUCAGAAACACGAACCAGCAGAUCACUCUCAUGCUGAUCCAGCCAGGCUCCCUGCUUCAGUCAGUAGAAGCUCGCACGCACUGCCUGUUCCUCCUUUUCCGAAGUACUGCAUCACUUCGUAAUGGGGAAACCAGGGUCCAGAGAUUUAAGACUUACCCAGCCUGUAAACUCUCACCUCUAGUAUUUGCUUGUCAUCUUGCUGCAACCAGAAAUCCACAUGUGGAAAUGGCGUCCAGGAGUACGGUCCUAUACGAAGUUGUUCUGUCUCUGCAUCGUAAAUGCUAAUCAUCUAAAAAAGAACGUGUCAAGAAUAGAAUUUCAGGAAUGUCACCCACUUUUCAAACCCUCCCAGUAACGCAAGCGCCAGUGUAGUCCUUUCAUGCAUUUCUCUGCAUAAGCUUCGGAAAGCCUGUCUGAAAUAACAAACUGCCAGCUACUGAACACGUCCCAUGUGUCUGCUGCUGCACGCUGUGGGGCAUACACAUGACUGCUGAGCGCCAAGAGCAGUCCCACAGGACAAGGGUGUUUUUCCCAUUUGGGGUGAAAACUUGAGGCUCAGAGAAACGGGGCCCAUUUCCCAGGUCACAUGUCCAGUAAGCCUCAGAGCUGGGCCUCAAACCCAGGUGCGUCUGACUAAAGUCUGUAUUCCUCAUUGCCUCAUUAUUUAUACCCCAAACAACUGAUCACCUUGCAAUUUAAAAGCAUACAGUGCCUGCUGCCCUGUCUCUGAAUUGACAAAAGACCACAGCGAAAAGUCUGCACAGUCUUAACACUUCUACCACCACUCCUAAGAGAAAGAUAGGAAGGUGAACAGAAUGGCUCCUAAGUGUCUAGAGUUCCCCCUCCCUGGAGAGGGAAAAUGCAACCUUUACCCCAUCAAAAGAAAGAAGCUAAUUUGCCAAAUGAUCCAUUCCCUGAAUUCCCAAAUUUGCCAAUGGCAGCCUCGGCUUACCCAGCAAUAUUCACUUUGGUAACUGAGACUGAAAUAUGUUCUGAGUAUCAAACUAAACUAGGCCUGUUAUGCUCCUUGAGAAGUUCUAAAAAUGUUAAAAGGGCUGGCAAAACAAAUCGCUCUGAAUUCAAACACAUUUUCCAGUGAAAACAUCAGCAUUUCAUAAAUGAGAAGAUUUCUUUGGGGUGGCCUUAAUAUGAUUUCUGUUUUUUCACACUUUGAGCAUUUUUAAAGCUUCCACCCAUUCCUCAAAUGGCAUAUAAACCUUUUCUGUUUUCUAA